rnacentral:rRNA from 1 species
CCUACGGGGCGCAGCAGUGGGGAAUAUUGGACAAUGGGCGAAAGCCUGAUCCAGCCAUGCCGCGUGUGUGAAGAAGGCCUUCGGGUUGUAAAGCACUUUCAGUGGGGAAGAAAGCCUUGGGGCUAAUACCCUCGAGGAAGGACAUCACCCACAGAAGAAGCACCGGCUAACUCCGUGCCAGCAGCCGCGGUAAUACGGAGGGUGCGAGCGUUAAUCGGAAUUACUGGGCGUAAAGCGCGCGUAGGCGGUCUGAUAAGCCGGUUGUGAAAGCCCCGGGCUCAACCUGGGAACGGCAUCCGGAACUGUCAGGCUAGAGUGCAGGAGAGGAAGGUAGAAUUCCCGGUGUAGCGGUGAAAUGCGUAGAGAUCGGGAGGAAUACCAGAGGCGAAGGCGGCCUUCUGGACUGACACUGACGCUGAGGUGCGAAAGCGUGGGUAGCAAACAGGAUUAGAUACCCGUGUAGUC